GGGAGGUAGUGACAAUAAAUAACAAUACGGGGUUCUUUAGGAUCUCGUAAUUGGAAUGAGUACAAUUUAAAUCUCUUAACGAGGAACAAUUGGAGGGCAAGUCUGGUGCCAGCAGCCGCGGUAAUUCCAGCUCCAAUAGCGUAUAUUAAAGUUGUUGCAGUUAAAAAGCUCGUAGUUGAAUUUCGGGGUUAGUAAGUUGGUCAUGCCAUUGGUAUGCACUGGCUUUACUGAUUCCUCCUUCUUGACGAACCGUGAUGUCAUUAAUUUGGUGUUGCGGGAAAUCAGGACUGUUACUUUGAAAAAAAUUAGAGUGUUUAAAGCAGGCUAACGCUUGAAUACAUUAGCAUGGAAUAAUGAAAUAGGACGUUAAUCCUAUUUAGUUGGUUUCUAGGAUCGACGUAAUGAUUAAUAGGGAUAGUUGGG
rnacentral:rRNA from 1 species